rnacentral:rRNA from 1 species
UACGUAGGGGGCUAGCGUUGUCCGGAAUCAUUGGGCGUAAAGCGCGUGUAGGCGGCCCGGUAAGUCCGCUGUGAAAGUCGGGGGGCUCAACCCUCGAAUGCCGGUGGAUACUGUCGGGCUAGAGUACGGAAGAGGCGAGUGGAAUUCCUGGUGUAGCGGUGGAAUGCGCAGAUAUCAGGAGGAACACCGAUGGCGAAGGCAGUUCUCUGGGCCGAUACUGACGCUGAGGAGCGAAAGCGUGGGGAGCGAACAGG